ensembl:snoRNA
UGCCUUUAUGUGUUGCUCUUUCACUGUUCCCCUAGUGAUCGGGGUGUCAAAUAAGGCAUACAAUGACACGUGUGGCUGUUUGUUAAAUUAGUUUGAAGUGACUCCUUUACCGUAACAGCUGCACGGACAUUU